rnacentral:rRNA from 1 species
GGAAUAACACGAGGAAACUUGUGCUAAUACCGGAUAAGUCUUUACGGAGAAAGCUUUAUGCACCAUUGGAUGAGCCUGCACUUGAUUAGUUUGUUGGUGGGGUAAUGGCCUACCAAGACUGUGAUCAAUAGCUGAUUUGAGAGGAUGAUCAGCCACAUUGGGACUGAGACACGGCCCAAACUCCUACGGGAGGCAGCAGUGGGGAAUCUUGCACAAUGGAGGAAACUCUGAUGCAGCGAUGCCGCGUGAGUGAAGAAGGCCUUUGGGUUGUAAAGCUCUUUCGUCGGGGAAGAAAACG